UUUUCCUAAUCUCAAACCAGGUCUUCUGCGGCUAAAAUCUAAUCACAGUUUUGUAACGUUUGCAUUGGCUCAGGCUGCUCGAAGCAGUGUUUAGACAGCCCUGCCUACGCUCUCACGCGGCAUGGCUGAACAGCAGCACAUGCAGUCAGUCCAUCGAUUUACAACCCGUUUUCAUUUGUCAGGAGAAACAUUUGUACCCUGGCAAACAACUGACUAAACAAGGUGCAUGAGCUCUUAGCUUGUCUUGCCUGCACUUUGGGGGUCUAUUGACAUUUAAGUAGGGUCUAGGGCGCUGGACAAGGUGGAAGGAUCCUGGAGGCCUCGAUACCCUCUGCUGGGUAAGUUCAUAGCCCAAGGGCUCAGUUCAGAUCACGAGCACUGUACCCGGGAUGUGCUAUGAUCCAAGAGGGCUGGCAAAUGUCACUCGUUUCUAACCGUAGGUGUAUCGGGGUGUCUGUUAUUGUGGCACGGAGGGAAGCCCUGAAUGGUAACGAAGAGGUGGGAAUCUCUGCUUUCGGGGUCUUUCCAGCUGCUGUUGGUUAAACUCUCUAAAUUUGCUGACCGUAGGUCAAGCUCUUCUCUCCGUCUUGCCCCUCUUGCUUUUGAGAGGUGGUUCACACGGAUGCCUACCACGUUCCCUACCAAAGGAGCAAAAUGAGAACUGUCACAUGCCACCAGAGAUUUGUCACGAUAGAAAUUUGCCUAAUCUAGAAUUGUAUAGAGAGAAAACUCCCAGCUGACCUCCUUAAUCCCAGGCUCCUUAACUCGCUCUGCUUGUUCAGCUGAUGACCUGCAACAGUUUUUCCAGUCUUCACUGCUGAGGACCCUGUCUAAAUGCAUCCGUGUUUCUUUCCAUGUUGUUGUCAUGUCUUUCCUCCUCUUGCCUAGCUGGCUUUUAGCAUCGUUUCCCAGGGGAGUCCAGCACCCACCUCACCGUUUCUCCUCUCUUCCAGGUUGUCUCAGAUGUUGGUAGAGGGCUAAGGGCUCAUGUGCCUCACUCCAAUAAACCUCAGGGCUCUUUGUAUUCACUGAAACAGAUGGAUUUUUCCCCUCUCUGGCAGAUGGGAGUCAAAUUCCUCAGAUUAAGCAAUCUUAAGGAAAGCAAAAGAAAUCACCGUAGCGACGAGUGAAGGAAUAUUCUUGAAAGCGCAAGAAAAUUGGUGCCAGAUCUGCCAAAAGAGGGGCAUUACAGAGGAGUUGCGCUUGGGCCGCUCACCGAAGCAUCUCAACCGUUGGCAAAAUGUUUGCCUUCAGGCUGACUUUGGAGCUGAUUGCCUGCUGUUCGCCAUGCCAAAACUGCAUUCUUCUGCUCGGGUUUUCCAGGCCCGGCUGUUCUGUGUGUUGCCGAAGCAAUGCGAUGUGUUGUGGCUGCAGCCGCCUGCUCGAAACUUGCCCUGCUUAAGGAGACCAUCCCAAAACAGGGAAAAUCCCAAAGGGGACCCACCUGAGUAUGAGCUAAAAGAAACCAGGGGAGAGGAUAUUAUACUCAUAAGCGACCAGCUGAAAGCAGAGCCACCCUCUCUCCUGC